rnacentral:rRNA from 1 species
UGGGGAAUAUUGCACAAUGGGCGCAAGCCUGAUGCAGCGACGCCGCGUGAGGGAUGGAGGCCUUCGGGUUGUAAACCUCUUUCGCCAGUGAAGCAGGCCAUCUUCUUUGUGGGGUGGUUGACGGUAGCUGGAUAAGAAGCGCCGGCUAACUACGUGCCAGCAGCCGCGGUAAUACGUAGGGCGCGAGCGUUUUCCGGAAUUAUUGGGCGUAAAGAGCUCGUAGGCGGCUGGUCGCGUCUGUCGUGAAAUCCCCUGGCUUAACUGGGGGCUUGCGGUGGGUACGGGCCGGCUUGAGUGCGGUAGGGGAGACUGGAAUUCCUGGUGUAGCGGUGGAAUGCGCAGAUAUCAGGAGGAACACCGGUGGCGAAGGCGGGUCUCUGGGCCGUUACUGACGCUGAGGAGCGAAAGCGUGGGGAGCGAACAGG